CGAAACUAUUGUAUUUAUUAGAACUUGUGCGCACACAUAAGUGAGCCUUCUUAGUUGGACAUUUCAAUAAAGGGUAUUUAGAAAAUAAAUUAAUAAAUAAAGGGGAAUAAUAAUAAUAAUAAUAAUAAUAAUAAUAAUAAUAAUAAAAGGGCUUGAAACCCUUGUUGAUAGCCGUCAUCCCUAACCUCCCCACCUUUACUUCUCCUCUCUCCCUCACCACCACAGCCAGCAGCAGCAGCAGCCGUGACUUCCUCCACCAAUCCGGCUGCGUUUUCCCUCCCCCACGACAGCCACCAGAAGAACCGGCAGCCGCCCUCCCCUCCUCCGCGAGCAGCCCCAAGCAGCAGCAAGCAGGCUACGCGCCUUCUCUCCUCCAAAAACAGCCGGCUACUUGUGGGUGUGCUGCCAGUAGGACAGCAGUCGCGUGGUGGUUCCUCCACCAUCGCACACGGCCCUGGUUCACCACCACCACAGCCUUAUCCUCUUCUUCGCCAUUUUUACUAGUUUUAACUUUCAGGAAGAUCAUAGAUAGACUUAAACAGGUUAUGGAGUCUCUCGUGUAUUGCAUAUGGGGGAUUGAGCACGCAACUUAUGUUUAUAAUAAUGUUUUAAUGGGUUUUAACCCCAAAGUUUUAUGUUUUGCUGGGUUGUAUAUGUAAUGAGAGGCAUGCGACCUCCAUUUGUAUAAGUUUAUUUCCGCUGCAUAAUUUUCUGGUUUGUAUGUUUUAGUUUAAAUGUUUUGUCAUUUGAAACUCAAGCGUUUACAACCACGAUCCAUGCUUGACAUGAAAAGCUGGCGAUGAAUCAUUCUGCCGUGAUA